rnacentral:rRNA from 1 species
CAAGCGUUGUCCGGAAUCAUUGGGCGUAAAGCGCGUGUAGGCGGCCAGAAAAGUCCGCUGUGAAAACUCGAGGCUCAACUUCGAGCUGUCGGUGGAAACUUUCUGGCUAGAGUCCGGAAGAGGAGAAUGGAAUUCCUGGUGUAGCGGUGAAAUGCGCAGAUAUCAGGAAGAACACCCGUGGCGAAGGCGGUUCACUGGUCCGGUACUGACGCUGAGGUGCGAAAGCGUGGGGAGCAAACAGG